AUUGAACGCUGGCGGCAGGCCUAACACAUGCAAGUCGAGCGAGCGGCGGACGGGUGAGUAAUGUCUGGGAACCUGCCUGAUGGUGGGGGAUAACUACUGGAAACGGUAGCUAAUACCGCAUACCAUCAGAUGUGCCCAGAUGGGAUUAGCUAGUAGGUGGGGUAACGGCUCACCUAGGCGACGAUCCCUAGCCGGUCUGAGAGGAGGAGCAGCCACACUGGAACGGAGACACGGUCCAGACGCCUACGGGAGGCAGCAGUGGGGAAUAUGGCACAAUGGGGGCGAGCCUGAUGCAGCCAUGCGGCGUGUGAGAAGAAGGCCUUGGGGUGGUAAAGCACGUUCAGCGGGGAGGCGUUACCCGCAGAAGAAGCACCGGCUAACUCCGUGCCAGCAGCCGCGGUAAUAC
rnacentral:rRNA from 1 species